rnacentral:rRNA from 1 species
CCUGGCGGCCAUAGCGCCGUGGAACCACCUGAUCCCAUGCCGAACUCAGAAGUGAAACGCGGUAGCGCCGAUGGUAGUGUGGCAAUCGCCAUUCGAGAGUAGGACACUGCCAGGC